GAUGAACGCUGGCGGCGUGCCCAAUACAUGCAAGUCGAGCGAGACUCUUCGGAGUCUAGCGGCGGACGGGGGAGUAACACGUGGGCAACCUGCCUGUAAGACUGGGAUAACACCGGGAAACCGGUGCUAAUACCGGAUAAUCCUUUUCCUCUCAGGAGGAAAAGCUGAAAGUCGGUUUCGGCUGACACUUACAGAUGGGCCCGCGGCGCAUUAGCUAGUUGGUGAGGUAACGGCUCACCUAGGCGACGAUGCGUAGCCGACCUGAGAAGGUGGUCGGCCACACUGGGACUGAGACACGGCCCAGACUCCUACGGGAGGCAGCAGUAGGGAAUCUUCCACAAUGGACGAAAGUCUGAUGGAGCAACGCCGCGUGAGCGGUGAAGGCCUUCGGGUCGUAAAGCUCUGUUGUUAGGGAAGAACAAGUACCGGAGUAACUGCCGGUACCUUGACGGUACCUAACCAGAAAGCCACGGCUAACUACGUGCCAGCAGCCGCGGUAAAAC
rnacentral:rRNA from 1 species